rnacentral:rRNA from 1 species
AGUGAACGCUGGCGGCAGGCCUAAUACAUGCAAGUCGAACGGCAGCACAGUGGAGCUUGCUCCAUGGGUGGCGAGUGGCGGACGGGUGAGGAAUACAUGGGAAUCUGCCCAGUCGUGGGGGAUAACGUAGGGAAACUUACGCUAAUACCGCAUGCGCCCUUCGGGGGAAAGCCGGGGACCUUCGGGCCUGGCGCGAUUGGAUGAGCCCAUGUCCGAUUAGCUAGUUGGCGGGGUAAAGGCCCACCAAGGCGACGAUCGAUAGCUGGUCUGAGAGGAUGAUCAGCCACACUGGGACUGAGACACGGCCCAGACUCCUACGGGAGGCAGCAGUAGGGAAUAUUGGACAAUGGGCGCAAGCCUGAUCCAGCCAUGCCGCGUGAGUGAAGAAGGCCCUCGGGUUGUAAAGCUCUUUUGUCCGGGAAGAAAAGCAUCGGGCUAAUACCUCGGUGUUCUGACGGUACCGGAAGAAUAAGCACCGGCUAACUUCGUG